GCCUACGGGAGGCAGCAGUGGGGAAUAUUGCGCAAUGGGCGAAAGCCUGACGCAGCGACGCCGCGUGAGGGAUGAAGGUCUUCGGAUCGUAAACCUCUGUCAGCAGGGAAGAACGGUCACUGUGCUAAUCAGCAGUGAAUUGACGGUACCUGCAAAGGAAGCACCGGCUAACUCCGUGCCAGCAGCCGCGGUAAUACGGAGGGUGCGAGCGUUAAUCGGAAUUACUGGGCGUAAAGCGCUCGAAGGCGGUAUGUCAAGUCAAGGGGGAAAGACCCGCGCGCGACGAGGGAACGGACUGUGAAACU
rnacentral:rRNA from 1 species